UACGAAGGGGGCUAGCGUUGCUCGGAUUGACUGGGCGUAAAGGGCGCGUAGGCGGUUCGUACAGUCAGACGUGAAAUUCCUGGGCUCAACCUGGGGGCUGCGUUUGAUACGUGCGGACUUGAGUGCGGAAGAGGGUCGUGGAAUUCCCAGUGUAGAGGUGAAAUUCGUAGAUAUUGGGAAGAACACCGGUGGCGAAGGCGGCUCUCUGGACCGAGACUGACGCUGAGGCGCGAAAGCGUGGGGAGCAAACAGG
rnacentral:rRNA from 1 species